rnacentral:snoRNA from 1 species
AUGACGAAUAAACUCGGCCUGAGAGGGUGAAGAAGGCAUCCUACGCCGA